rnacentral:rRNA from 1 species
UACAGGGGGUGCAAACGUUGCUCGGAAUUAUUGGGCGUAAAGCGCGCGUAGGCGGCUACUUAAGUCGGAUGUGAAAGUCCUUGGCUCAACUGAGGAAGUGCACCCGAAACUGAGUGGCUUGAGUACUAAAGAGGGUCGCGGAAUUCCCGGUGUAGAGGUGAAAUUCGUAGAUAUCGGGAGGAACACCGGUGGCGAAGGCGGCGACCUGGGUAGAUACUGACGCUGAGGCGCGAAAGCGUGGGGAGCAAACAGG